AUCUAAAUAGUUUAAUUAUAAAAUAUUGGUUUGUGGUGCCGAUGAUAUAUUGUAUAUUUUAGAUU
rnacentral:tRNA from 1 species